ACCAAAAAAUUUGCCAUUUCAACUUUAUUUUCCAAUUCAGAAUGGAAUCAUUUCAAAAUGUCAGAAUUUCCCAUGGAACAGAAAUUUUGUUUUACAAUCAACCUGCUUGUGCUUGUUGUUUCAUUUUUUUUUUUAUUAGUGGAUAGGGUGGUCUAUCAGUAUGCAGUUUGUUUUUCUUUUUAGACAAAAUGACUCUUGCUCACAGAAUAAAAACAUGAUAGAUUUCAAGCUUGAAAAUGGAACUGACUUUUGAUGGGGGCAAAAAAGGCCAUUAAAUCCAACAGGUUUUCCCCUUUCUAAUUAAAAUACAUUUAACCAGCUUGAUAAAAAAUACACUAAGAUCAAGACAAGAUAUGGAUUUUGUCAAGGUGAAUAGAAUAUUGUUAAAGUUGCAGCUUUGUGAGGACAUUGGUUUUGUAUGGAAAUUCCAUUGUAAGCAGACAAUGUCACUGACAUUCUAUAUCUCACACAUGAUCAGAUUCAUUCACAGCAAGCCCACUGCAAUCAGUGGAGUUAGUUAGAACUCGUUAGUGUAAAUGAGAUGAGAAUUUGGUCACUGUAGAUAGCCUAAGUAUAAAUAGCGAUUGGAAAGUUGAUCUGCCAAGUGGUACGAUUGGGCCAAAUCAUAUAAAACUACAGUUGAUUGCAAUUAAUUUUACCAGAAUACAAAGUGAAUUAACACUAAAAUAUAUAUCUUCAGGAUCCAGCCUAUUGUAAAUACAUCCUUUUCAUGGCUUGAGAUGGCAAGUCUGAACUAAGCACUAGGACACAUUUUCCUGAUCAGAUAUUAAAAGCCACCGUCUGGAAAGUAUUUGGGAGCCUUACUGGGAGGCAUGAAUUUGAACAUAAGGCAAUUUGUCUGCUGCAAAAUGAGAAAUCAUAAUGUUCUUGCUACUCAACCAAGCUUAUUUCACAGCCUGAUUUAUUAUAGCACAGAGUUGAUGACCAGUUUGAUGCAGAAAGCAAACAUAAAAGGAGAAGAAAACAUGAGACAGUGAGUCACCGAAAAUUUAAAAAGUACGAUCGGCAGCACACAAGCCUUGGGAGAGAGGAGAGUACAGAGAAGAUGAACCUUUCUUCAAGAUGUUCAGAAAAUGUGUAAGAUCCCUAACUCAGCUUCUUCUAAAAAUAAAAAUCUCCAAACAGAUGGUUGAAGAAUUGGUAGCUGACAAGACUGUUGGACAAUCAACAAUAGAAACUAAUUACCAUAUAAUCCUACUAAUGGUACCUAAGCAGGUACUUUUUGACACAACAUAAGUUCUUUGACUGGCUAAGUAUCUUCUCUUCAGUGAGCAAAGUUAAAAGGCAUAAUUAGUAAACUACUUCAAGAAGAAAUCAUCAAAUCACUUCAAAAGAGGCUAUUUUAAGAAUAGUUAUCUGACAACUUCCAAAGUUAACUUUGUUGGCAAAAGGAAAAGUAGCAUUCCAAAAAUGUCUCCCUGUUGACAAAGUAUCAAGUGGCCACAGAGACUAGGGAAUAAAUCACAUCUGCCUGUAAAAAAUCUGCAAGAGGGAUUGAGUAAAGUAACUUUUCUGCUGAAUUCUCCCAUCAGAAGGGAGGUUGACAUUCCUUUCUACUGGCCACAGGGCAUGAGCCUCCAAUUCCAGCUUGGUCAGGGCAGGCUUUCCCUUUUCAGACUGAAGACACGCAUUGUUAACAAUGAGGAUAAUCAACAACUGGAACAAUUUAUCAAGGGUGGUGGUGGAUUUUCCAUAAAUGGAAAUUUUAAAAUAAAAAAAUGGAUGUUUUUCUAAAAGAUAUGCUCAAGUUCAAACAGGAAUUAUUUUGGGGAAAUUCUAUGGCCUGUGAUAUACAGAAAGUCAGACUAAAUGAUCACAGUGGUCCCUUCUGACCUUGAAAUCUAUGAACUUCACAGAUGUUCCAAAUUCUACAAUAUUUUUAAAUAUAUCUUUGAACAUUCUUUUGAGCCAUGACUAUACCAAAAUGGCAUAGCUUCCCAAUGGCUUCUAGGCCAAAACCCCUUUCCCAGAGGUGGGGGUUUUACAGCAUGGAGAGGGAAUUUUUUACAGUCAUAGUGGGUGGCAGGGCUAGUGAGAAAAUUCUCCUGGAUUGUUACUGUGGAGAAUGGCUCUUCUCCUCACUCCUUGACCAGCCACAAGCCUGAAAACACGUCGUAUGGAGUUAGAGGGGAGUCACAGUUGCUCCCACUGCUAGAAUUUUGGCCAAUAGAGUGGAUUUUCGACACUUAUUUCAUCCACAGCAAAAAAGAAAGGAUGACAUAGACCUCAAAGUCAUUUGACAAGAUGUAUGACUUUUAAGGUGGUUUUCUGGGAAGUGCUAGUAAUUUUGCUGCUUUAAAAAAGUCCAACUUAAACUAACUUGAGAUUUGUAAUCUUUUAUAUUUGUAAGGCAAAUUUAUUGCCUACUUUAUCAAUGUUUGUACUACAAUAUAAAUUGUAGCCCAUAAAAAUAGUUUGUAUAGAUGUGAGAGAAAUACUGAAGUUAGAUUUUGCUUUAUUAGAUGGUACAAAUAUGAGUGAUUGAUUUUUUUAAUCAGUUUUUGUAUUUUGACAAGUCAGAGAAUAUGAACAAAACUUUUCAAUUUAGUUACUGUGGUGUCACUCACAUAAUCAAUAAAAUAUUGUGUUUUACUUAGA